AUCACCUCUUUUCUGUUAUGUUCUGUUAAGCAUGGCAUUCUUCCCAUGCUGAGGAAAAUUUAGUAAAAUGUGUUCUCGUUAGCAUCUUCAAAAGGUUAUUUUCCUCAUCUGAUAUUUUUCUUAAAUGGCAAAUGUGGCAUUUCCUAAUUUUAAUGGGUCAUUAGCAUUUUAUUGCACAUUUUAAAAAUGGAAAUCUUUUAGUAAAAAACAAGCACAUUUUAUAACAUGCACAAACUUAAAUAUUUUAAUAAAAAUAAUGUGGAGUCUGUAAUUCAAAUUUGUGUAUAAUUUGCAUAUUUAAACAAGUAAGGUCAACAAAAAAGUAGAAUUUUUUUUUGUAUUGUUCAUUCUGCUGCUAUUGGAAUAACAGAGCAUGCUAAAGGGGACAGCAAGAAGUUUGAGAUCUGGUCCAGAUCAAGGGAUGAGGUCUACACAGUACAGGUGAGCACAAAAGUGUGUGCCUUGAGUUCAGAUUUCUAUUAAGAAGACUGUUACAUGUGUUAAGUCUACACUGACCAGGUAUCCUGGUUUUAUGUACUGCUUUGUGAUAUAUGUUGUCUUGUAGGCCGUGUCUGAGGAGGCUAAGACCAUCUGGGUAACAGAAAUCCAGAAACUUCUAACAGGACAGCUUGAGACCUGUAAAGAGGCAAGUCAACAAAGAGCACCUGAGCAGUUCUCCUCAGAUACCAGCUCCACUAACAGACUGGUGAGAAAUGAACCAAGUAACUUCAGGAGUGGAGGAGUGGAUAAACUGAAAACAGAAGAGGAAAGAGGCAAAGAACUAGAGAACAUUCUAGAGCCCAGAACGACAGGGAGAGCAAAAGGGGAGUAAAAAAAAACCCAUGUCAUUAUAGAAUUUUAAUUUUGAUUGAACUUCCCCUUUAACUUCUUUCUGUUUCUUUGAUGAUUGCAGGGUCUUCGUUUAGUUUUGAGACGAAACCAAAACGACAAGAUAUUCGGAGUGACCCUACACCUCUAGGUUGGACUAAAGGAUCUCUCUCGCUGGAUGCCUCUGUGGAGCAUGAUGGAUACUUUAGUGCAGAGGAGCAGGCGACCUCUGACCCAGAAGAGGAGAAGGAAGAUAAAAUGGUGCAAUCUGUGAGGAUAGAGGAAGAGAUCCAGCGUUCUGAAGAGACUGAGAAAUGAGAGUUGAGUGUGAAUGUGUGCGUAAUGCCAUCAGUGUACAGCACAGACAGUAGGUUUCAUGCAUAACUCUUGAAAGAGGGGGAAAAACAUUAACUUUGAAGUUUUGCAUACUCUUAAAAAUAAAGGUUCCUGGUAGUGUGACCAAAAAAAGCUAAUUGUAAAUGGCUGUUAAGAAACCAAACAUUACCAGCAGGGGUCAUACUAACCAGCCCAAAACAAAAAGUUAGUGACCAAAAAGGGUUUUACAGGACCUUUUUAUCCUUUAAAUCUAGAAGAAACUAUCUUAUACAAACUGAAAACCCUAUAAUGGAUUCCAAAGAACUGUACACAGUGGAAAUUACUGUUGUUUAGAGAGUUCUUUGCAAGAAGCUUUAUUUUUAAGAGUGUGGUCUUAGAAUGCACCAAAAUAAUGCAUUUCACAGAGACACCAGAGCCAGCUCUUUACACACUGUCUCAUCAUAGUAUGCUGAGAUACAUGUUUCAUAUCCCUUAAAACGUAGUUAUUUCUGUCACAGCAUUAUGUCCAUACUGAGAUAUGGCAUGUCUAUUGUCAAGUCCUGUGAUCUCCAGUGUGAAAGCAUAUAAAAUAUAAUUGUGUUCUGUACAAUGCAGGAAACUAGUAACAAUGUGUAAAACAAGCAUAUCAUAUAUGCAGAUGUUGUUUCUCAAAGUGACUGUGAUCACCCUGUGUCAUGUAAAAUAUGUCUACAAAUCAAUAUUGUUUAUAUGCAUAUAAAAAUAAAGCCAUAGUUGACUGACGACUCUUGCCUUAUUUUUGUUUAAUAAAAACUUAAAGGUCAAAUUAUACAUAAUGACGUUUACAACGUA
rnacentral:lncRNA from 1 species